GCUGUGGAGAAGCUGAUUGGACAACUGCAGGACUCCAACAACCAACCAGAUCUCAGCACUACGACACUACAGCCUGUAGAUGUCAACACUGAGGAGGCUGCCAACCAGGACCUGGACCCACUGUCUGCCAAGAGGCCCAGGAGAGGUCAGAGGAAACCCUCCACAGUCAAAGGAGCCAAGAAGUCCAGCAGAUCGGCAGAGUCCUCCGAGGAGAGUGAUGGGGAGAAUGUUCCAGACUCGGUGCCGGUACCCCGUUCAUCCCGCCGGGCCAAGACGGCAGCUUUGGACAAAACCAGACUGGACCUCAGUGCCCUCAUCAACCAGGAGGCCAACGCCUCGUAGAGUCCCACGUCAGAUAGGGUAGAGAGGUCAGAGGUCAGGAUGCCGAGUGGAAUCAGUAAUGUAUCAGAGUAGUGGACAUGUAGAUCAACAGGUUUAGAGACAGAAGGAAUUCCUAUCAUCAACCUGAAUGAAAAAUGUGAUUUUAUUGGAUUAAAUAAACUUUUAAACUUC